ensembl:lncRNA
GCAGCGAUUACAAGGCGACGUGCCUUCUCCCCCGUCCCGGACACGCCGGCCCUGGGCUCGCCAAGGGGAAGGGUCCGUUCAGCUUGUUACCGAGCCGCCCGGACUGAAGCGAAGGGCGCGGGAGCCGGGGCGUCCCGGGGGCGACCCCGCGGGCCCUAGCUCUUUCGGCGAUGGGCGUGAGCCGGGUGAGGUCCCCGUGAGCAAAGUGCAUUUGGAUGGGGGCGCUGGAGCGCGCGGCUCGGCUUGUUGGCUUGUUCGCGCGUUGUCGCCAGCGCCGUGUUUCUUGUCCCUGGCGCCAGCUCGGUGCCAUCCCAGUGAGUUUGAUUGAAACACGGCUGCAAGAAGGUGUCGAGCAGGGAACACGGCUUGCAAGGCGGGAGGGGCGAGUAAAGGGACCCGGAGAGGCUCUGGAAGGCAGCGGCAGGUCACGCCGCGCGGCGCUGCUCGGGGACUGCUAUUUUGAAAUCGGGUUGCUGUCCCCUCCAGGGCGCAGGAUGCAAGGGUCAAGUGUCACUUCCUCUGGCAGUCAAUCUCCAAUAUUCCUUGUAAUGUUCCUAAAUGGACGAAUUCAUUACGCGCGGACAUGUGAAUGGGGGGAGGCCGCCGGCGCGCCUGGUCAAUAGCGUCCACUAAUCGUUCAUUUUGCACUGCGGAGCGCGGGCCCUUGGAACCAAAGGAGGAGCCUAAUCAAUAUUGUUUACUACCUCGCCGCUGCCGGCGUAAAGGUCACUUAGGGAAGGCGGGAAAGUGCAGGCACCCGACAGGUCCUAAUUGUCUCCCUGCUUUUCCCUGGGUCGGUUUCCCCUCGGCCCUCCUCCACCCUCUGUCCGCCUUUCAAACGCAGUCUCGGCCGCUGCGGCGCGCUCCGGGGUGAGCCGGGCCCCCGACUCGCCCUGAAAUUUUUAAGAGGAAGCGCUGAGUAAAAUUAAAAGGAAACCGCGUCUGGAUCCUCCCUGCUGGGCCACCCCCUUCCGUCCCCAACCCCACCAGGAUCAGAGAGGGCCGGGAGUGGGAGCACACAGGACUUCACGAUGCCCUCGCACAGCACCCAGAGAUCCCUGGGAGGAGAUUCAAAAUUAUCCAGGAAAGAAUGGGGGUGGGAGGGGGAGAGCCUGCCCUGGCUCAGCCGUGGCCAGGGCUUCCCCAAGGCGGUCCUAGACCUCAGAGAGGGAAGCUUCUCCUGGUACGUUUAAAGCAGUGUUGGCAACAGAGCACAUGGUUGAACAAAUUCCCUGUUGACCUGCUGGAUUCCUGGUGAAAAGUAGUGACUGUCCCCUAGAAGCCCCCCAUCCCUGCCCACCUCAAAACCAGAAAGCUGUGUCUCCCGUUCCUUCCCUUCCUGGGCUUCCCAGAGGAAGGAGACGGAGGCAGAGGGGGCUCCAUAGACUCGAGCUGCCAGGGGACCUUGAACGGUUAUCUGCCCCACUGAAAUCUAUGUAGCUCGGGUUAUACGUGGCCGCCUUCACACACGUGUUUCCUAAAGGAGAUGUGCGGAUGCGAUAAAGGACAGACUAGAGACAAAUCCUGCUGGGCUGAAGAGAGACGUGAGUGGCUCAGGUUACCCCAGGGGGUGCGGCGGCAGCGGGCACUGCUUCUGGGAGUUGACAGUGGGGCUGGGGGAAGAGAGGGUCCUUGGUGUGCUUUCUGCAAGCAACGGAAGGGGCAGCCCUUGGUUCCCUUGUGCUGUUGCUGACAGAACUGAGACCCAGACGUAGGUAGGCGGCAUCUUUGCUUCCUUCAGACAUGGGAGGAUAAAGCAGAGAGGAAGUAAGCGGCACACCAGUUAAGACAGUUGUUACGUGGUUGUCGUGGAGGUUUUGCGUUUCCAUCGCUCUAAGUGUUAGAUGCAUCUAUUCCCCCCAAAGGCCCUUUUUAAAAAGUUAGCUGUGAAGAUGUGGGAAUACUGGUUCUUUAAGAGGGACUCCUUCUGGGUUUAUGGUCAGAUGGCUCCUCUUCCCUCACAUGCGAGUGUUAGUUUGAGCAGGGUGCUUUCACCUGUUUGCAAUUUGAUUUGCCUGGAAAUGCGCCUCUCUGGAGAAGGCACAGGUUUCCCUGGCUCCAUUUCCAAUGGUGUGCAGGUCAUAAAUGAGGUUAUUUCCAAACCUAUUUGUAUUCUCUGUCAUUUGGUUGCACUCGGUGAAGAAAGGAGCAAUUGGCUUCAUUUACGAAAGUGGCAGGUAUAAAUAGGAAAAUGAGAAAUAAUGCGACGAAGCUAAACCAUUUGCCAAAUCAAACCCUGAACUUCUUCACAAAAUUCCAAACUACUAUUUGUUCGAUCUUCAAUUACAAUAUUAAAAAGGACCGGGGGACUUUGGUGCCAGUAUUCUCUAUAAGGCAAGCCCUUUUACACUUUCCCACAAAAUACAUUCUUUUUCUUGAAUUGUCUCUAAUCAAGCUACCCAAAAAUAUGAAGGCUGUGUCCUCCUUGUCCUGCUUCCUGUACCAAAACCCUCUAAGGUCAAGCACUGGCUUUUUAUUUAUACACACGAAAAUUUCUUCUAAGAAUGGAGUUUUCAUACACAAUGUGUCUGGACACGAAGCAAAUGUUGUUUUAGGGGAAGGUUCUACUAACAGCCCCACUUAUGCAAAAGCACAUGAGAGCGGAAAGGAUAAUUUCUGUUAGUUAACAUCUUGGAGCAAGAAAAUUAAAAACAAAUAUUUAACUUCCCAAUUUGGAAUUUGGGCUGGCACCUGACUGUGAAACUUCUACAAAUGCAUACUCAAUGAGUUAAAUGCAGUCUUUCCAAGCCAAAUAAAACCGCCUUCAUGUGGUUCAAAAAUAAGAUGGAAUAAACUGAAAGAUAAAUAAAAUGCGUGGAGACGCCCGGGGAGAGAGCUGAUGGGUGUGAACUUGCCCAGAGACAGCGUUUGGACUCUGCUCAAUGCCUGGGUUGAAGACGCUCAAUAAAGCUCCAUUUAGAGACGAUCAAGGGGAAAUAAACACACGUAUCUACAAACACU